UUUUUUUCUAGUUUCUAUCAACACACUACCAAUCCUACCUGGCUGGCUGGUUUAACAUGGUCAUUGUUCACUCUUCUCCAUAUGCAUAGUCACGUGCUAAUGCACUCUUUCUUUUUUCUCUUUCUCUUUCAAAGGUCUACGCCAUUUGAGAGAAAAAGGCGAAGAGUGGAGGAGCAGUUGAAAAAGAGUGGUAAAGGUGUAAACAAAGUUUUGGAGCUUUUCGCUACUCCAAGUCAAUUUGGUGUCUGAAUCGAGAAAAAAGGGAGAUACUCUAUAAAGCAAAAACCAACGUACAAAUCAAAGGGAGGGAGGGGCUUACGUUACGUAGGUUCCAUCUGUUUAUUUGUAUAAAAUUUUCGUUUCUCUUGUGUUGACACGCCCACGGUCUUCUUGCUCCCAUCCCCAUUAACCCAUCAAAAAGAUAUGUAUCUUUCCUCGUUUUAAUUAAAAUGAUUGUACUAAGUUUUUUUUUUUUUGAUAAUUACAAUCUCGCCCAAGGCCCUAAUUAAACUACUUCCCCUAUAGCCAGUAGCAUUGUAAUUAGUGAACGUUGUAAGUACAUUAAAGACCUCUCUGUUUGUUUUGUUUUGUUUUCUUCUCUUUAUUUUCUUCUCCUGCCCUGCCCUGCCCUGCCCACUGCACUGCUCUGCUCUGCUCUGCACUUACCGGCAUCCAUCCAGCUCGUGAAGUCAUGAUCCUUUAGCCAUCGGGUUUUUCCUACUGCUUCCCUUCCUCUUGAAUCAUCUAAUAUUAAUCCUAUUCAAAUUAGUUUAUUUAUAUGUAUUGAUUCUAACUCGCAACUUAUGAAGCAAAAGCAGUCUAAACUAAUACCUAUUAACCAGCUACAAGUAUGAGAUGCUUUCUCUUUUAUUUAUUUUGUAGCCCACUUUGAUUUGACCCAUUGGAUCCAUAAGAUUCAACCCAAAAACAUUCAUAAAUUUGAGCCACUUCUAGAAACUAAAUGCCAAGCACCCUUGCCUU
rnacentral:lncRNA from 1 species